rnacentral:rRNA from 1 species
GUGCCAGCCGCCGCGGUACUGCCGGCAGCACAAGUGAUGGCCGAUCUUAUUGGGCCUAAAGCGUCCGUAGCCGGCCAGACAAGUCUGUUGGGAAAUCCACGCGCUCAACGCGUGGGCGUCCAGCGGAAACUGUCUGGCUUGGGGCCGGAAGACCCAAGGGGUACGUCCGGGGUAGGAGUGAAAUCCCGUAAUCCUGGACGGACCGCCGAUGGCGAAAGCACCUUGGGAGGACGGACCCGACGGUGAGGGACGAAAGCCAGGGUCUCGAACCGGAUUAGAAACCCGAGUAGUCC